UUCGAGUGUGUGUAUGUGUGAGUUUUCUGCAAACUCACAUUUUCGAAAAGAGAAUUUUUUCACUUUACAAAAAAUUAUUAGCAAAACUUUGUCGCUAAGGUUAAGAAUUAUCUAUAAAAUUUAAAAUAAUAAAUGAAUUAAACGAAUAAAUCCAUUUAAUUGUUUAACAAAUAAAAAGUGAAACUACUUAAAUGUGUUUUAAAACGAAAAAAAUCAUUGAAUAUUAAAAAAAAUCGGCUAGAAAAAGUCAAAGAAAAGAUACAAAAUUUUAUAAGUAUAGCAAAAAAUACAUUUUUUUUGACUGAUGUGCUUAUUGUUGUUGUUGGUGUUGGUAUUCAUGUGCUUCCACUGAAAGAGUUUUCAAAGAAAAGUCGAAAAAAAUGAUAAAAAUACGUAAUCAUAAGUUUGUAAUAUAAUAUUGGAGAAGUACGUUUUUUAAAUAUAUUGUUCAAAAAAAUAUGCUGAUUUUGCAGAAAACCAAGAAAUAAGAUUUUCUACAACCAUCCAAUAAACAAGAGCUCCAUAUACUGUCUCCUCCUCAACUAAAAGUCGACAUUAAAAAAAAGUGAAAAAAGUUAAAUUUUUUUUGAUUUCUUUAUGAAAAUUAUUUAAAAAAAAUAUGAAAAAUUAGAGAGAAAUGUGUUAAAAGUUUUAAUUUAUAAAACUGCAUAAAGUAUAGGCCAAAUAGACAAAUGAAUAAAUAAAUUGAAAAUUUUGUAUGUGUUAAGGAAAAAAAAGUAAAAGAAAAAUUGUGCGAAAUGAAUAUGAAGAUUUUUCAAAGUGUGCAUGGGAAACAAAAAUUUAAAUUAAUUAAUUCUAUAUUAAUGCAUAAUUGUACAAUUGCCAAUAUUAUUAGUAAAUGUAAUAAGCCAUUAUUAAUAAAUAGUUUAAAUAAAAAUUCAA